UGGUGGGUAGUUUGACUGGGGCGGUCUCCUCCUAAAGAGUAACGGAGGAGCACGAAGGUUGGCUAAUCCUGGUCGGACAUCAGGAGGUUAGUGCAAUGGCAUAAGCCAGCUUGACUGCGAGCGUGACGGCGCGAGCAGGUGCGAAAGCAGGUCAUAGUGAUCCGGUGGUUCUGAAUGGAAGGGCCAUCGCUCAACGGAUAAAAGGUACUCCGGGGAUAACAGGCUGAUACCGCCCAAGAGUUCAUAUCGACGGCGGUGUUUGGCACCUCGAUGUCGGCUCAUCACAUCCUGGGGCUGAAGUAGGUCCCAAGGGUAUGGCUGUUCGCCAUUUAAAGUGGUACGCGAGCUGGGUUUAGAACGUCGUGAGACAGUUCGGUCCCUAUCUGCCGUGGGCGCUGGAGAACUGAGGGGGGCUGCUCCUAGUACGAGAGGACCGGAGUGGACGCAUCACUGGUGUUCGGGUUGUCAUGCCAAUGGCACUGCCCGGUAGCUAAAUGCGGAAGAGAUAAGUGCUGAAAGCAUCUAAGCACGAAACUUGCCCCGAGAUGAGUUCUCCCUGAGACUUUAAGUCUCCUGAAGGAACGUUGAAGACGACGACGUUGAUAGGCCGGGU
rnacentral:rRNA from 1 species